rnacentral:rRNA from 1 species
AUUGAACGCUAGCGGCAUGCCUUACACAUGCAAGUCGAACGGCAGCACGGGGGCAACCCUGGUGGCGAGUGGCGAACGGGUGAGUAAUGCAUCGGAACGUGCCCAUCGAUGGGGGAUAACUGCGCGAAAGCGUUGCUAAUACCGCAUACGACCUACGGGUGAAAGCAGGGGACCGCAAGGCCUUGCGUCGAUGGAGCGGCCGAUGUCGGAUUAGCUAGUUGGUGGGGUAAAGGCUCACCAAGGCGACGAUCCGUAGCUGGUCUGAGAGGACGACCAGCCACACUGGGACUGAGACACGGCCCAGACUCCUACGGGAGGCAGCAGUGGGGAAUAUUGGACAAUGGGGGCAACCCUGAUCCAGCAAUGCCGCGUGUGUGAAGAAGGCCUUCGGGUUGUAAAGCACUUUUAUCGGGAACGAAACACCGUGGGUUAAUACCCUGCGGGACUGACGGUACCCGAGGAAUAAGCACCGGCUAACUACGUG